rnacentral:rRNA from 1 species
AGGAAUAUUGGUCAAUGGGCGAGAGCCUGAACCAGCCAAGUAGCGUGAAGGAUGACUGCCCUAUGGGUUGUAAACUUCUUUUAUAAAGGAAUAAAGUCGGGUAUGCAUACCCGUUUGCAUGUACUUUAUGAAUAAGGAUCGGCUAACUCCGUGCCAGCAGCCGCGGUAAUACGGAGGAUCCGAGCGUUAUCCGGAUUUAUUGGGUUUAAAGGGAGCGUAGAUGGAUGUUUAAGUCAGUUGUGAAAGUUUGCGGCUCAACCGUAAAAUUGCAGUUGAUACUGGAUAUCUUGAGUGCAGUUGAGGCAGGCGGAAUUCGUGGUGUAGCGGUGAAAUGCUUAGAUAUCACGAAGAACUCCGAUUGCGAAGGCAGCCUGCUAAGCUGCAACUGACAUUGAGGCUCGAAAGUGUGGGUAUCAAACAGGAUUAGAUACCCUGGUAGUCCACACGGUAAACGAUGAAUACUCGCUGUUUGCGAUAUACGGCAAGCGGCCAAGCGAAAGCGUUAAGUAUUCCACCUGGGGAGUACGCCGGCAACGGUGAAACUCAAAGGAAUUGACGGGGGCCCGCACAAGCGGAGGAACAUGUGGUUUAAUUCGAUGAUACGCGAGGAACCUUACCCGGGCUUAAAUUGCAGAUGAAUUACGGUGAAAGCCGUAAGCCGCAAGGCAUCUGUGAAGGUGCUGCAUGGUUGUCGUCAGCUCGUGCCGUGAGGUGUCGGCUUAAGUGCCAUAACGAGCGCAACCCUUGUUGUCAGUUACUAACAGGUCAUGCUGAGGACUCUGACAAGACUGCCAUCGUAAGAUGUGAGGAAGGUGGGGAUGACGUCAAAUCAGCACGGCCCUUACGUCCGGGGCUACACACGUGUUACAAUGGGGGGUACAGAGGGCCGCUACCACGCGAGUGGAUGCCAAUCCCAAAAACCUCUCUCAGUUCGGACUGGAGUCUGCAACCCGACUCCACGAAGCUGGAUUCGCUAGUAAUCGCGCAUCAGCCACGGCGCGGUGAAUACGUUCCCG